GACAGCAGUCGCCACGGUAAUACGGAGGGAGCUAGCGUUGUUCGGAAUUACUGGGCGUAAAGCGCGCGUAGGCGGUUACUCAAGUCAGAGGUGAAAGCCCGGGGCUCAACCCCGGAACUGCCUUUGAAACUAGGUGACUAGAAUCUUGGAGAGGUCAGUGGAAUUCCGAGUGUAGAGGUGAAAUUCGUAGAUAUUCGGAAGAACACCAGUGGCGAAGGCGACUGACUGGACAAGUAUUGACGCUGAGGUGCGAAAGCGUGGGGAGCAAACAGGAUUAGAUACCCGCGUAGUCCCUGUCUCUUAUAC
rnacentral:rRNA from 1 species